GCGAGAGUGGCGGAACUGGUAGACGCGCUAGGUUGAGGGCCUAGUGAUCGCAUAGGUCGUGGGGGUUCAAGUCCCCCCUCUCGCA
rnacentral:tRNA from 1 species